GGCAGCAUCUACCUCUAGUGUGGCUGGUUCCAUUCCAUGGUGGAGUGCCUGAAAGGUGGGGAGGAGAGGAGCUCGAUGGCCGGACUCUACUCGGAGAAUGUGGUUGGAGAGGAGAUCGGGGCAGACAGAGUGCCACGCAUGGGGCCUUGGCUUCUCACCGUCAGGCACUAGUUGCCCAGGCUAGAGAAGACGAGAGGCGUGAGGAAGACUAGGGCCAUGCCAACUCGGAUCUAUGUACUCGGAAAGGAACCGACUUCGGGGGUUUCGGAUCGAGUUGACCCACCGACCAAAUUUGAUGGUUGGAUCAAACCAACCAAGAUCGCACGACAGUGAUCUCCCCUU
rnacentral:lncRNA from 1 species